CCGGGACGCUUCUGGGCACAGAAAAGCUGUGACAUCCAGACGCCACAGAGUGGAGACGGCCAAACCAACACUAAACACAACGCCACCAAAGACCUAUUGUCAUCUCACAGUGAAGAUGAAGAACAGAAAGCCUCGGCGCGGAGAAGUGACAGCUGGAGAAUCAAAUGAUCCGGUUCCGUCCGAGCCAGUGCAGUGCUUGACAUAAUCAGAGGAGCUGGCAUGAGAAGUGGCUCAAAACUCCCAUAGUGAUGCACAGUAUUACCCAUUACUCCCCGAGGCAGGGCACAUGCCUGAAACGAAAUGCUCUGUUUUUGUUAAAUAAAAGGAAUUAUGCAC
ensembl:lncRNA